AUCUACACGAGUUAUUUAUUUAAGCGCACACUGAACGAUUAUUACAGUUUUCAUUAUAUUUUAUUUAUUUAUUUUUUACACUCACUCUUUCCACUCACACUCUACACUCACACUUUACACUCACACUACACUACACCACACGAUACUUUUUCCCCACCAAUUUCCACUUUCCCCACUUUCCACCCACACUACACACUAUCCUUUGCCCCCCACCAAAAUAAGCUUUAGCCAUGCCUAUUUCUCCAACAAAAUACCCAUUUCCUUCCACUUACCAUUUCUCCUACAUACCAAGGAACUAAGUGCGGAGCUACACCCACAGAAGUUCAGCUAUACCACACGGACUCCACAAACUCAGCUGAAAGCUCUAAAGAUUUCAUCUACAAAUCACUCUGUCCAUUUUACCUCCAUUCACGGUUGGCUGGCCGGUGCUGACGGGACGGAGCUGAGGCUAGCGAUAAAUUCCUAUGUUAGACUUCCGCUGUAGCAAUUACUCAUAUCAGUCUUUUGUUUUCUCAACUUAAGAUCUUCAUGUUAAAUUUCAAAUGAUAUACCUGACCGAGCUUAGACUCUUCACUACUAAAUUUAUGCUAAUGAAUGUCGGUUGUCAGAAGCAUGAAACAAAACUUGUGAUCCAAAGGGGCAUAGCCCGACUCUCUAUCUUAUUAUUCGGGUUUUAACAAGGUUGUUCCUUGUUUAUUUCUAUGAAUUAGUUGCACCUCGAUUAUAUUUAUUCAUUCAAGAAUUGGGGUGUGACAGAAUGGUAUCA